rnacentral:sRNA from 2 species
GGAGGGUCGUCGCCUAAUCGCCCUUACCAACGGGGGCGAACCGGGGAACCACUUCCUCCGCGCGCAGUGCCAACGCCUGCCGCGCGGAUCGGGGUGAAUCGCACAGCGGUCGAAGCCGAUAAGGCUUUACUUCUGGCGUGCGUAGGGCCAUCUCUUCCGGCCCGAACCCGACAGCUAACCCGGUCGGCGAUAGGGAGAACAACA